GGGGACGUAGCUCAACGGUAGAGCACUUCCAUGGCAUGGAAGGGGUUGUGGGUUCGAUUCCCAUCGUCUCCA
rfam:Candidate division WWE3 bacterium CSP1-7 XT08_C0004, whole genome shotgun sequence.